UACGAAGGGGGCUAGCGUUGCUCGGAAUCACUGGGCGUAAAGGGUGCGUAGGCGGGUCUUUAAGUCAGGGGUGAAAUCCUGGAGCUCAACUCCAGAACUGCCUUUGAUACUGGGGAUCUCGAGUCCGGGAGAGGUGAGUGGAACUCCGAGUGUAGAGGUGAAAUUCGUAGAUAUUCGGAAGAACACCAGUGGCGAAGGCGGACUCACUGGCCCGGUACUGACGCUGAGGUGCGGAAAGCGA
rnacentral:rRNA from 1 species